CGGAUGAGAGCCACUCUGGCUAGCCAAGAAGACCGGCCCAUGCAGCCACAUUGCACAUCCAUCAUCACAAGAAUUUCUCGAGAGAAAAAUCCCUCGAUCUGCCGCCACUGCCAUGGCUGAUCGAUGGGUGCAUGGAUGGAUGAUUGCAACAGAGGGCAAAAGCAUAGGCAAGUCAUUCUUGGCUACCAAAGGGAGUAGCCUCUCCAUCU
rnacentral:pre_miRNA from 1 species